GAGCAACACAACCAAGAUGUCAACUCCCUGGGCUUGAUUUCUUCAAGAAAAACUGCUGAAGCUGUUGACAUAUUGAAGCUCAUGUCUACCACUUUCUUGGUUGGUCUAUGCCAAGCCGUUGACCUGAGGCACAUAGAGGAGAACCUGAAGAGCACAGUCAAGAACACUGUCAGCCAAGUUGCCAAGAGAGUCUUGACAAUGGGCUUCAAUGGCGAGCUUCACCCUUCACGAUUCUGUGAAAAAGACUUGCUCAAGGUUGUUGACAGAGAACAUGUAUUUUCCUACAUUGACGAUCCUUGCAGUGCAACCUAUCCAUUAAUGCAAAAUCUAAGGCAAGUACUAGUCGAGCAUGCCUUGGUGAAUGGCGAAAGGGAAAGGAAUUCAACCACUUCGAUUUUCCAAAAGAUCGGAUCUUUUGAGGAAGAACUGAAGACCCUUUUGCCUAAAGAAGUGGAGAGUGCUAGACUUGAAGUUGAGAAUGGAAAUCCAGCUAUUCCAAACAGGAUCAAGGAAUGCAGGUCAUACCCCCUGUACAAGUUUGUGAGGGAAGAAUUGGGAACUAGUUUGCUAACAGGUGAGAAGGUCAAAUCGCCCGGCGAGGAGUUCGACAAGGUUUUCACAGCUAUCUGUGCAGGGAAGUUGAUUGAUCCCUUGCUGGAAUGCUUGAAGGAAUGGGAUGGUGCUCCUCUUCCUAUUUGCUAAGCUAUGGAUGUCCUGUAAUCAUCUUUCUUUUUUCUUUUUUCUUACUAAGCUUACUUGCCAUGUCAAUUUGUUCGUAACAAGCAAAGUGUAUGCCUCUGUUGUCUAUUUACUUUCAAAUCAUUAAAGAAUCUUUCUUUGUACAACAAUAAAUAUACCAUCCUAAAUGAAAAAGAUAAGUAUUUUUUGCUGUCAAAUUUCUCUACACUACCACUCCUCAAAUGCUUAGCAGUGCAGAUUUCAAAUGAUUGGGCCAAUAUCUUAAGCUCUUUAAUUGCAUUUAAAUCUAAUAAACUUGCAAGCAAGACCACCUUUUUGGAUUUACAAAGAUAUAAUCUUUAGGAUUUUUUUUUUUUAGAAUAGCUAAUGUUCUUGUUCAUAAAGGGCUGUCAUGUCAUGUUCAUGAUUUCUUGACAAUGCAUGUUAACAGUGAAGCCACAAUAAAAACCCACCUGGAACUGCCAUUAGAUUCAUGAUCCUACACUUACCAAAUUUUACUCUCUUUUUUUCGGUAACCAUUGCAAAAAAAAAAAAAAAAAAAAAAAACCUUAUUUACCUGAAAGGGUGGAGAAAUAUCGAUCAUAUACAAAUUCGAGAAUUGAAUUUAAAAUAUUUAUCACCACCUUUUUCCUUUCUUUCUCUUGUCUUUAUUGACAAAGAAACGAGGAGCAGUUGAUGAGGGCAACACCUACCUCUUCGCAAAAGCAUGCUGCAAAAAAAAAAAACGAACAUGAUUUCAGAACAAACAUAAUUAAAGCACUAGAACUAAAUAACUUUCUGGUGGAGGAAAUUCAUCUACUUUGAUCUAGCGAGGUGCAGACCACUCAACUUUGAGGACGAGAUUAUCAUAGCCAUAUCCAUGAGAUUGUCGAUGGCUCUCUCCGAGCAUCUUCCUUGUUAACAAGAUGAACACAACCAAAACCUUUGUUCAACCAGUGACAGCGAACACUCGAGUUGUUGGUCCAAAUGGUCGGUAGAGAUCAUUCAAGUCACUUUCUCGAGUGUCCUCUAAGAGGCACAUGGCUGUCCACCUGUCUUGCCACAAGUCCUACACUGUAAUAUGAGAGUUGCACCUCUGUUUCCAAGCUGUGCUGGAGAGUCCCCUGCUUUCUUGGUUUCGCCGUAUGCUCCUCUUCCUGUUUGCAAUUUCAACAAGGGACGUGUUAAGUAAGAUUAGUGUUGGUUAUUGGGUUAGGCCUGUUGUGUUUAUGAUGGAUGGACCUGGCUCAAGUUAUUAAAGGAGUUGCUAAAAAAAAUAAUCGUUUUCUCUAAUUAUAUAUAAAGAUAUAAUCCAUAUAGAAUGAUAAAUUUUUAUUAUUAAAAAAAUAUGAUUUUUUUUUUUUUCCAUCUUGAUUCUCUAUAUUAACUUGAUAAAAUUUAUAAAAAUAUAUGUACCGUGAAAUAUCAUUUUAAUUCUAGUAAUUAAAAUGAUAUUAAAGUAAUUGAUUUAGAAAUAAAAAAAAAAAUUCUUACAAGUCAGUUUUCUUUCCGAGGUUUUUAAUUUCAAAUUAAGGAUUGCGGCUUGAUUUUAAUUUCAACGGCACCACCGCAUACUUUUCAUCCAGCCACACCAACAACCUUUCACUUUCGAUCUUUUCUCUCUCCACUGCGUGCAGCUAGCAGCCCAGUCACGUUUAUCUUAAUCAUUAUUCUAUUCUGAAUUUGGAGAAAAAAUCAGAGGAUAAAAAUAAGCUUGACUAAUUUCACUUUGACCAUACUAUGUGUAUGGAGUGAGCCAGUGAGGCUCUCACCAACCACACACGUAGCUUAUCCAAGAGUUUGACAAAUUAAUUAAAGCCUGUAAGCUUGAUCUCUCUAUGAUUUUCUCAUUGUCUUCACCUACCCUCCCUGGAUGAGAACCACCACUGUGGUUUGUGGUGAACAAGACCCGGUCUAACCACAACAACUCCUGGCUACUAUUUUCUUCUUCUUUUUUUUACAUUUUCUUGAAGAAUAUGUGCACUGUGGUGUUCUCCACUGAUAUAUCUUUUUUAAUUGAUGCAGGCUGCUGGAUAUUAUCUACCAGGAACCUCACGAUACUGGGAGCUAGUAAAAGAUAAAAAUAAUAGAGAUAAGAUAUACAUGAUUUCAUAUAUUUCUUGUUUUAAAAAUAUAUAAAUUUAUCUUAAAAACUGUUACCAUAGAGACAUGUUUAUUUUAUUUGUGUAAAUAAAUAUGUUUCUUCCUAUCUUUUUUAUUACGAUUGCUCAUAAUAAAGACUUUAUUAUGAGCAAUCGUCCAUUAAUUCAAGAGGUUAAUGAUCAUAUCACGUGUAAUUAAUGCUGAAUUGAUCAUGGGAAACACGUAAGAUGUUUCCUCCUCAAACAGCAAACCUUAAACUAGUUGCUUUGAAGAAAAAAAAAAUAGGGUUUGGAUCAUAAAUUAACUUGACAGGUUUUUUACAACUCUACUCAGAGCAGGUUCAAACUAUCGGGCAAGCAGGGUUUAAUUAAUAAAGGUGGCUCUGUAUGCUCUGCUUUUCUUCUCGAAAGAGAGAAUGGUAUGGGUAAACUUUCAGGAUGAGAAAUAUAUCCUUUUCUUUGUUGUCUUCGUAGGUUUUUUUUGGAUUCGUUGAUUUUUUCUUCAUUAUGGCUAUAUCCUAUAUAUCAGCCAGUGACUUGGCCCUGGCUUUCACUUGUUCAAACCCUACGUUCGAUAUAAAUAUUUUUAAAUGGUUAAACAGUAAUACCAAAUAAUCAGGGCAGAACCAGGGGAGGGGAGGCAACCUGUAAAAGAUUUUAGAUUUUAUUAUUUUUUAGUGUCUAAAUAUAGAAUAAUAUACUAUUUUUUUUAUUUUAAAUUUUAAAUAGAGGGAUUUUCUAAUAAUAAAUUAUAUCUUGAGUUUUGUCUACACCCCAACAAAUAUUAUUUUAAUAACGGUUUUUUUUUAUAAAUUUAGUCAUCAAGCCCACUGUUCAGGCCGUUUUAACACCCAAUUAAGUAAAUCUCAGUAGGACUAGCCGAAAGAAGCACAUGAUUACAAUUAAUAAAUUUUACUUGAGUUUUCUUCUAUAAUAUUUAUGCCUGGCUUUGAUCCAGCCGCCAUGAUUCUUGGAUUUACCAUGCACUCACGAUGAAAAGUCACCACUUAAGUGCAUGCUACUUACCACAACAUCCCAAGUGUCACAAUCCCACCCAUUGAAUCCCAUGAUGAUCCAACGGCCACAUACACUUUUCAACCAGCACAUCGGCCAACCCACCCCAUCCUUCUCUAUUUAAAGCACCUAAAUUUUGGUGAAUAAACUCAGGAUUUUUGGGUAACCUGAAAAUUCCUACAUGCAUUUAGAGCCUCGCAACUUCAGUUUUUUUUACUAUACAACCCUCAUAUAAUUUUUUACGCCAGAAAAUUCUUUGUGCUCACACAUCCGUUCUUCUCUCUCAUUUUCUCUUUGAUCAUACCAAUUGAUCCAUCACUCUUUUUUUGUCUCUCCUCCAUUUUGGCAUAGAGGAUCAUCGCUUUACAGGAAAAAAUGGAAUUUUGUCAAGAUUCACGCAAUGGCAAUGGUUCACUAGGAUUUAACACUAAUGACCCUUUGAACUGGGGCAUGGCGGCAGAGUCACUAAAAGGAAGCCACCUAGAUGAGGUCAAGCGCAUGAUCGAGGAGUACAGGAAGCCUGUGGUCAGGCUAGGAGGUGAGACCCUGACCAUAGGCCAGGUAACUGCAAUUGCUAGCCGUGACGUUGGUGUCAUGGUGGAGCUGUCAGAGGAGGCUCGAGCUGGUGUCAAAGCCAGCAGUGACUGGGUCAUGGACAGCAUGAACAGUCAUGCUGUUACUGCUGGUUUUGGUGCAACCUCGCAUAGAAGAACCAAGCAAGGUGGAGAGCUUCAAAAGGAGCUUAUAAGGUAAUCAAACUCAUGACAAAUCCCAAAAUUUACUUUACUUGUAUCUUAACUGCUAGUAAGGUAGCUUUUUUAAUUACUGUAUAUAUCACGCAGUUUUUUUUUUUGCCAUGAUAUUGUUAAUUUGUUACUUUAAAUAGGGGAUUGUUGGCUUGUUAGUAUUGAUAUUUCCCAGGAAAAAACAACUAAUGUCUUGUUAGAGACAAAAAAGGUCUUGUUGUGGACACGAUUCGUUCCUGUUUUAAUUGCUUCCAUGCACGUUCGACAACAUAUGUUUGCGUUAGCAGUUGAAUCAUUAAUCACAUAGACAAAUUGAUCUAAUCAUGUAACGAACGUAUUAACAAUGAUUAAUGUCUUCUUUUGGUCCUUUCAAAAGAACGGAAGAAAAGGGUUCUUUCAGUUAAUUGGAAUUUUGGAUCAUUACUGGCAAAAAUCCCAAGACAUAUAGGAAUAAUGAUCGAUUGUUAAGACAUCUAGCAAAGGGUUCUUUCAGUUUUUGUCAGGGAGGAAGAUACCACAGGUGCCUGUGAGGUGUUCCUUCACUCUCCUGGAAAAUGCCUGAAAUUAGCACGCACACGUUUCAUCAGCUGUCUUGUUAACUUGUUAUUGUUAGGUUGGUAAGUUGUACGUGGAAGUCCAGCAUUUAGGUGGUAGGCGGGUAAUCAGAUUAAAGCAGUGAAAUAAACUAUUAUAAAGGGUUGAAUAUUUCCAACUUGACUUGACUCGUAUUGAGUUAUUUAACCAUCAAAUAAAAAAUAUUCAAAGAGAAAAGUCUAGCAUCCCGGACGGUAAACAUCAUUAAUUACUUGUAAUUUACUUCGUUAAUUAUGGUUUGCCAAUAUUAAGAAAGAGUGCAAGAAACUAUCCUAGCUGCUAGUAACAAUAUUUUUUGGUUACACAUUGUCACCUACACUUCGCUGAGGUUCUUGCAAGAAUAACUAAUUAAAAAUGCUAUUACCAAAUAAACUUCUCACCUAAUUUUAUUUUUUUCUGCUAAUUAAGGUUGUUGCUAAUGUGGUUUAUGGGAUUUUAUUUCACUAGGUUCUUGAAUGCUGGUAUCUUCGGCAAUGGCACGGAGUCUAGCCAUACAUUGCCUUGCUCAGCAACCAGGGCAGCUAUGUUGGUCAGAACCAAUACACUGCUUCAAGGUUAUUCAGGCAUAAGAUUUGAGAUGCUGGAAGCUAUCACCAAGCUGCUCAACCACAACAUCACCCCAUGUUUGCCACUCAGAGGAACAAUCACUGCCUCUGGUGACCUUGUCCCGUUGUCCUACAUUGCUGGGCUCUUGACAGGCAGGCCUAAUUCAAAGGCAGUUGGACCCAAUGGAGAGCCCCUGAGCCCUGCUGAAGCCUUUACACAAGCUGGGAUUGAUGGCGGCUUUUUUGAGUUGCAGCCGAAGGAGGGUCUAGCACUAGUGAAUGGUACUGCAGUGGGUUCCGGUCUAGCUUCAAUGGUGCUUUUUGAGACUAAUGUGUUGGCAAUCCUAUCAGAAGUUUUGUCAGCAAUCUUUGCUGAAGUUAUGCAAGGAAAACCUGAGUUUACUGAUCACCUCACACAUAGAUUGAAGCAUCAUCCUGGCCAAAUUGAAGCUGCCGCCAUCAUGGAACAUAUUUUAGAUGGCAGCUCCUAUGUUAAAGAAGCUCAGAAGUUAAAUGAGAUCGAUCCUCUACAAAAACCUAAAAAAGACCGAUAUGCUCUUCAAACAUCUCCACAAUGGCUAGGCCCUUUGAUCGAAGUGAUUAGAACAUCAACGAAAAUGAUCGAACGAGAAAUCAACUCUGUCAAUGACAAUCCUUUGAUUGACGUGUCGAGGAAUAAGGCUCUACAUGGAGGGAAUUUCCAGGGGACCCCUAUUGGUGUUUCAAUGGACAACACGCGUUUGGCCAUUGCUUCAAUUGGCAAACUGAUGUUUGCACAGUUCUCUGAACUUGUUAACGACUUUUACAACAAUGGAUUGCCUUCAAACCUCACUGGUGGCCGCAAUCCAAGCUUGGAUUACGGGUUCAAAGGUGCCGAAAUUGCCAUGGCAUCUUACUGUUCGGAGCUCCAAUUCCUUGCCAAUCCUGUCACCAAUCAUGUCCAGAGUGCCGAGCAACACAACCAAGAUGUCAACUCCCUGGGCUUGAUUUCUUCAAGAAAAACAGCUGAAGCUGUUGACAUAUUGAAGCUCAUGUCUACCACUUUCUUGGUUGGUCUAUGCCAAGCCGUUGACCUGAGGCACAUAGAGGAGAACCUGAAGAGCACAGUCAAGAACACUGUCAGCCAAGUUGCCAAGAGAGUCUUGGCAAUGGGCUUCAGUGGCGAGCUUCACCCUUCACGAUUCUGUGAAAAAGACUUGCUCAAGGUUGUUGACAGAGAACAUGUAUUUUCCUACAUUGACGAUCCUUGCAGUGCAACCUAUCCAUUAAUGCAAAAGCUAAGGCAAGUACUAGUCGAGCAUGCCUUGGUGAAUGGCGAAAGGGAAAGGAAUUCAACCACUACAAUUUUGCAAAAGAUCGGAUCUUUUGAGGAAGAAUUGAAGAC
rnacentral:lncRNA from 1 species